AUAACACCUCUUACGGACCCGUA
rnacentral:siRNA from 1 species